GUACCGGGGGCGGGCCGAGAGACGCAGCCGGGACGGUAGCUGCAGCGCAGAGCAGAGGAGCCAUCUUGUCUUGUCGCCGGGGAGUCAGGCCCCUAACUCGAAGAAGCCCUGGCGCGCCCUCCCCCCCUCCCCGGUCUGGUAGGGCGAAGGAGCGGGCGUGCGGUCGAUCGAGCGAUCGGUUGGCGGCUCUUUCUCCUGCUCUGGCAUCCAGCUCUUGGGGCGCAGGCCCGGCCGCCGCGGCGCGCGCCCGGUGGCCGUUGGCGCUCGCGCCGCGUCUUUCUUCUCGUACGCAGAACUCGGGCGGCGGCCUAUGCUUUUGCGAUCCGACGAGGGGUCGUCCGGGUGGUUGGCGGCGGCGGGCAACUCCGCCCCGCUCCCGGGGAGGCGGCGGGGGAGGCUGGGGUGGCCGGGGCCGGCCUGGAGGCCUGGCGCCACCCUUCGGGGCCUGCUAGGACCCAGUUGGAGGGUCAAGAGGGAGCUGGAGGAUGGUUGGUGGUGGGCUUCCUCCUUUGCCUUUUCCUACUUAUGCCACCUUAGUGGGGAGCGAGAGCGCUGGCGGCAGCUCCGGGGUGGGGAUUCGAGCUCCGGAGUCGGAAGAUCUGGGUUUGCUUCCGGGCCUAGCCACUCGCUGGCCGAGUGACCUUAGGCAAGUCACUCUGUAAUCUGUCUGCGCCUCAGUUUCCUCCUCUGCCUAUCAGUGUGUGUAUGGAAUUGGAAGCUCUCUUCAAAAGUGUCGGUUUACAGAAAGAUGAUUAUUGUUUUUUUUUUUCCUUUGAGUUUCAAGAAGACGUAACAAUUGCUCAUUCCCUGAAAUUAAAUUCGGGAACCUUUCAUUGGAGUUGGAGAUGGGAAGGUUCCCUGAACUUCUUCUGUACAGAAACACGUGGGAAAGUGUUUUCUAGGGGGAUGAGUAGAUCCUUCAGUAGCGAGUUUUCAAAGGGGGCUAUGACCCAGAAGAGUUUAGAACAGUUUUUGCCACCGGGAGGAAACUGAGGCCUACAUGUCAUUUGGGACCCUUCACAACCAAUAUGAAGCCCCCAUUUGAGUCCCUGGUAUAUGUGAGCUGCUUCUUAUUGCAUAAUGGCUGUUUCAGGUACCAUCACUUCACUGCUUGGCUUUUAGUCAAAGCCCUUUCCUUUCACCAUAGGGUGCCUGAAGGGUGGCUAAUGCAUAUGGUACAAUGGCACCCACUAGAAAGCAGCUACAAUUAGGAGUGAAUGUGUUCAUGAGUAACAAGAAGUGUAAUCUUUGGCCCAGCGAUUGUUUUCUGCUGCUCAUACUGGUGCCUGACUACUUUUCUUUUGUUAGCUAUUUUUUUUACAACCAUGAUUGACAUCCAUUAUUUGCUCCUAUUUUGUAUCCCUGGUUUUCGUGGUUGAUAGUGAACAGGCUUAUUUUUAAAUGGUGCUGCCAAAACCAAUUAAUAGUGCACAUGGAUUUUUAGCAAGAGGGCUACUUGGAACAGACUGAACCAGGUGUUGGAUUCCUGAAAAUGUUUGGGAUUAUUUUUUUUUUUUUUUGGUGUUUUUUUGUUUUGUUUUGUUUUUUAAAUUGAAGGCUAAAGUUUUCGAAAAAACUUUGUUGGACUCUGGCUGGAACACAAAAUCAGAUAUUUGGAAUCAUUUUGAAGCUUAACUUUUUCCUAGCCAGCCUUGUAUUCUAAUUGCUUGCAAAUGUGAGACUGAAUGGCCAAAAUGCCGUUUGUUUGUUUGUUUAUUGUCAGCUGCUUUUAUCAAAUUCCAGGCCAUUAUCCAGCAAACACUAUUAAAAUGUUUGAACAGUUGGGUUUCAAACAUUUUUGUUUUGUGGAGUGGUGCUUAUUAAGUGGUACAGCUCUCUAAGCAAGUGAACACAAACAUAUUUAAGUGUAUUUUGUAUGAUUAGAUGUUACCAAUUCUGAUAUUUUAUUCAAAUGUCUAAAAAAAUAAGUUGACUUAUUCCCUUUACCAAAGGGCCAGAGACAAAUGGUUUCCUUUCAAGAGAAAUGACUGUUUUGAAGAAAAACUGUGUUGGUCUUAGCUCUUUUGUAAUUAAAUCUGGAUGUACCUCAAAAGACUCUUUAAGACUGUGGUGUUAAAAGGCUUUCCUCUGGAGAAGGAGAAAAUAUCAACUGGAACUUAAAAACUUGAAAUUCCAUGACAAAACACAGAUGUCCAGGAUUGGAGGUUCAUAAAGUACAUGCAGUAGUUGGAGUGGAUUCCAUUUUCAGUGUAGCUGCCACCAUGGACUCCAAGCUCCCAGAUUUUCAAGAACUGGACCUGUGACCCAGAAGAGCUUGUCAAGAUAUGACAGGAACUCUGGAGGUGGACGUUUUAUAUUCAAUUUUGGAACUGGUUGAUCUUGCCGUGAGUAAAGAGAGACACGACUCACCAAGCACUGCCACCAGCACUGUUACUGGGAACUUGAAGACCCAAGUUUCUGUCCAGAACCUCAGUGCAAUCUGACAACACUCCAUCCAAAGUGAACUACGUCCCGUGCCUCCUGGUUGCUGAAUGUUCACCUGGACCCUCCAAUGACCUUCCUUCCUGCUACUCCAUCAGCCUACAGACCUGGUACUUGGAUUUUUGUCCAUGGUGAUUCCUACCACCUUACUACUGAAGAAGACACCAUUCCAGUGGACCACUGUGACCCAAGAAGCAUUCAGCCAUCAUGAUGUGGCCUUUACCUCCACUCCUGUCCUACUCUGCCCAGAUUCAGCACAGCCCUUUAUAGUGCAGUCAAGAGUCUUCAAGCCAAAUAACUGAAGCUAUUUUAUCACAACAAAGGCCAGGUCUAUUCCAUAAAUGUACAGUUAAUUUCUGCAGUUUAUUCUUCAGAGACACAUAGUAAACUUGGACCAGGGGAUUUUGUUUUGUUUAUAUUGUCAACACUGUCUGAAGAAAGGCAUCUCUGAGAACAGCAUUGGACCCUACUCCACAAUCUCAAAUGAUUGAAGUUUCAUGAACUGCCUAGGAUCCUGUCAAGGCCACUGGACUCUUGUUCUUUUCCUACUUCAAAAUCUGUAGCUGUCUCUAAAUGACAAAGCAGAUAUUCUGACCCAUUGGGAUCAAAACCAAGGCAUAUUGAAUUCCUCAUAGUAUCAUCUUCGGGUUACUCAGGAACCAAAACUUUUCACACCAAUUUAAGAAAUUCUACUGAGGAAUCCCUUUACUUAACCAUCUCACAAGGCUUCAACCAGAUUCCUGAAAAGGCCUCUUGAUAUAUCAAGAUAGAACCUACAUGCAUUUUGUGAACAACUUAUCACUGAUUUUCCAAAGGCUUUAUGCUCAUGAAGUUCUUUGAAGGAAAGCUGUGUGGAAGUCCAGAGUAAAGUGAAGCUGCUCUGGAUGAAGUAAUGAAGUGGGAGUUAAGGUCUACAACCUGCCACAACCAUCUUCCUUGACCACCAUGGUGAUGAAGUAAUGAAGUGGGAGUUAAGGUCUACAACCUGCCACAACCAUCUUCCUUGACCACCAUGGUGAUGCCUAAAGGGACUUCCUUAUAUAAAGCUCUUCAGAAAAUCCUGCUUGAAACCACUACCCUAGACAACAUGUUUGACCUGAAUGGCAUUCUCUUCAAAACAAUUCAUAUUCAGUUGAUGCUCAACAUGUUUGAAGAUGCUUUAUUCAGAGAAUGAUGAUAAUACAGCAUUGUCUAAUGAAGUUUUAUUAAUAGCAUUCCAUCCAAGGUGGACUUCCUGGAGUUGGAUAUAACCAGAGAGCAAUUCAUAUGUAUCCUACACUGAAGAACACCAUUAACUUUCAGCAACCUAUAGCUAGUGGACUUACUAGAAGUACGUGACUUGGAAGUCUAUGAGAGCUGGUAUUGAAGUUGAUGCCUCCUUAAGGCCAUCUUAGACCAAGUUGUUCUUUUGACCUCUCCUCAUUAACUAUGAAGCAGAAUUGAAAUACAAUUUUUCCUAAAGGGACUUGCAACCUGGUUAUCAUUAUCUCAAGUUUCAAGUCAUGUUGAUGCAACCAGUAGUUAUUAAACUGCUCCAUGGUUUUUUUGUUAUUUAAUAAAUACUUUUUCCAGGGCUUAAAAAAACGAAACUAAAUUUCUCCAACACGUCUAUACUUGUCUAUUCAAAAGUAACUACUCACCACUAUAUGGAACAGAUGAUUCUGAAGACACUCUUUGAGCAUCCUUUGUGAUACUUGUGACUUAAAAUGUGGCUGGAAACUUUCCUUCUACCCAGUGAAAUAUUUAAUGAUUAGUCUUCAUGCCUGAUACCAUCAACUGUAUAUGUGUGAUAAGCAAAGUUUGACAUAGGCAUUUGACUCUAGGCUAUGAUAGCUUGCUAGUAACUUCAAGUAGCAUAUUGUCAACCUGUUUGCUGGAAAAGUAGAGUGACUUGGAAAAAAAUCUAAAUGGCAGCUAAGGAUUUUUUCAGUAUUCCUGAGUUUCUGUCCUUGGGAUAUUUCAAUGAAAUUUUCACCUGUCUCUUCACUUAACAGAGUGACUGACUCCUUACUAUGAAGUAUUCUUAAGACAUUAAGAUUAUUUUUGUAGAAAGGAUAAAAUUCCUGACCAUCCAAAUCAUCAUAGUGAACAAGACUUCAAUUUGUGACCUAAGAAAAUCUCAUUUCUCUACUUCGUAGUCAAUGUAAGGGCCAAAUGCUAUCAGCUACUCUGAAUGCACUGGGUAAACGUUGGAACUGCCUUCUUUAUAUCAUUAUUUCUUAUCCUCUAAUCAUGGUUACGUAAUUCUCACCACAAAUCAGCAAAUCAGACUCACAUCUGGUUAUUCUAGACUGCUCACAGUUAACAAAUCAAACUCUGAAUGACUUCUGCUUGUAUAUGCAACUACUAUUUGUAAAGAAAUUGCAAAUUCACUUUUCUAUUACCUCUACAUUGCUAGCUCUUUCUUUUGUGUUUGUAUUAAAAACAAAAAUAAGCUACACUGCCAGCUAUUCCCUCCUGCCAUACUCAGUUAAAAUGAAGAAUCGGGAAUCUAACCAGUGAAUGGAUAAGUAGAAAAAACUAAAACUUAAGGCAAAAGCCUUAAUCUAGGGCCUUUUCUACUAUCUUCAUGUCUUGGAUUUCAUCUAAAUCAACAGUGCCACCCAACCAGUCUGAGGUCUUGACUUGCUUUUAAGAUGAUUCUUAGAGAUGGGCUAUAUUACAGAAGGUGAAGACUUGAUUACCAAAGAAAGUAGAGCCAACUAUGACAAACCUGGCUCUACGAUCCUAUUGCUUCCAGAUGUAGCAUAGACUCAUAACUAGAACCUCAAGUCUGCAUUGAGGAUAUAGCCUUCUAAGCUGACAGUUCUUGCAACAGGUGAGCAAGAAAAUGAAAGCUGUUAUACCCAACUGGCCCUUUAAGAUCCAAAAAUAAUGUCUGGACUAAACCCUAUGGAGUACCCAGGACAAAAACUAAUUUACAGAGCUUCAUUAUUAAUCUGCCUGUUCUUCUAGCUUAAUUAUUGGUAUGACUGGCCCUGCUGAAGUAGUUUGUCUGUUUACCUGUCUUCAGCUCUUAACCUGCCUAUUUUGACAUGCUACUGCAAUUAGACUAACUGGCUUUGAGAAGACUACAAUCAGUUUCAGCCUCUCCUUUGCCCAAUUUCACCAAAGAAUUUUGAAUAAGAGGAACCCAUACCUCACCCCACCAGAACAGGAAGGACCGUGCUGCAUAUUCCUUGACCAGCAACUUUAAGUAGAGGAGUAGAGAACAACCCUGCUUGUUUUCUAUACCUGAAACACCAUUUGAUCUAAUAGGAGUAUAGAAGAUUGACAGCAGAGUACACUGCUUGCUUCUUUGGUAACUCAGAAAUGAAUAUGACUGGCCCAGAAAUUGUAAGUUCACCUUGACAAGAAACAGCAACACCAGAAGUUUACUGCUGAACUUAAUUUGCCACUUACUCGAAUAGCCUCGCAGACCUGCUUGCCAAGUAGGAGGCUAGUUUUCCUGCUUCAUAUCACCAUUGUAGUGGGGCUCAAUGGUGUCAGUCUUAAUACUGACUUGAAUGGGGACCUUAUGGUGAAUCCUAGACUAUGAGGCUAAUGGAAAUUGUCUAUUCAAGUGGAUUAUAGGUUUCCUGAGGACAGAACAGACAUCACUCCUGGUGAUUUUUAGAACUUGAUUACCAAGGAAGAAAUACCAGCUGCUAACAGUCAACUUUAUGGGCAAAGAUUAAGCUCUCUAUAUCUGGUCUUAUCCUGGAUGCUAGUUUUUUAUUGCCCAGUGACCAUUUCCAUCUCACGCUUAACUUCCUGAUGUUUUUUGGAACCAUCUCUUCCAAUUUUCAGUCCUGGUGAUUUAGACAGUCUUUUCAUGCUGGACAUUUUGUUGCAACCUCAUCAAUCACAGCAAAGUCCAUCUUGACUCUAGUGAUUAGUUCAGGAAUGGAUGCAUGAUUCAAGUUUGUCCAAUGAUAAUCAACCCUAGGUGUUUUCUCAGUUGUGGAGAAGUUCUCUUAGAUGCUUUAGCUUUGUAGGAGAAAACUCAAACCAACAGGGCCUACCUACUAUGUUGAAUGAUUGUAGGAGAAAACUCAAACCAACCAGGCCUACUACUGUGUUGAAUGAGCCGGGCAGAAAAUGAAGCCAGUACAGAGGGAAAUGGAGCCAAAAGAGGAAGAGACUUGAGUUCUGAUGAUCACAUUUUUGCCCCUGUAUCCAACUGUGCCUGAAGCUAAUAGUACAUCACCUGGACUUUUCAGUUAUGUGAACCAAUAAAUUCCCCUUUUUGUUUAAGUUA